rnacentral:lncRNA from 1 species
ACACAGAGAUUGGAGAGAGACAGGAGAGAGACAUGUUUUCAUCUAUCCUUUGUGGACUUCUGUUGUUUUUACUGCUGUGAAAUUUGACUUGCGAUAUCUGCUUGUAAAACAUCAUCAAAUCCAAAUUCAUUAUAUUCCACUUUUUCUAUUACAUGGUUUCUGCUUCACUGAUUCAUAUCUGUUUUACCUAUUCUGUAAGGGAGGAGAAGCUGCGUUAGGUUUCAUCUCUUGUUUAAGUUCAGUUUAAUAAAUAGUAGAUAAUGCCUCUUCUCUUUUUUCCUUUUGAAGAGGAGAAAAAGGAAAGAAUUGUAGUUGAUUCUUAUGUAGCAACUUAUUCAUUCAUUCAGUAGCUAUAGAAGCGAAUUGUUUUGUAGGUAAUUAUUAACGAUGCUUUGGAUAAUUCCCUAGCUAACUAUUCCUUCUUUUCCAUCCCAGAAAGCAAUGAAGAGAAAAGCUGAAGUCAGUGAUUAGGAGUGUCUGUGUAAGUAAAAGCAACAGGCAAUUACUGAGUGUGGUGUGAGAGGCACGGAAAGAUUGGGAAUUCAGCAAGAAGAGGAAUUGAAGUCAAACCUCACCUACUUCCCAGAGUCUUCUGGAUUUUCUGUUAGAAGCUUCAGUAUCUGAGAUAUUCCUAUGCAUUCUACUGCUUUAAUCCCACCUAAGUAGAGAUGUCCACAACAGAGAGAAUGGAGCUGUCACAUCGUUUCAACUGCCCAGGAAAGGACUCAGGCAACAAAUAAACAGCUAAGAUUUUACUAGAGUAUGAAAGGGAGAGCACUGGAGUGCAGUGCGGGGAUGGAGAUGCAGCUGUGGUGGCUGGAAGUACAGGAGGGCAGCUGGAGGCACCUGGCCUCUGAAGCCUGUCUUCUUCAUCUGGGUGAGAUCUGCUGGAGUCAGGAAGGACUUCCUGCUGCAAGGAUAAAGACCUAAGAAGCAUCAUGACCUGAGAAACAGUUUCACAGGCCACUCUUGGCAGGUGAAGUGUGGUGGCGUAAUCAUGACUCACUGCAGCCUCGAACUCCGGGACUCAAGCUAAUCUCUUUCCUCAGCCUUCCCAGCAGCUGGGACUACAGGUAUAUGCCACCAAACCUAGCUAACAUUUUAAAAAAUUUUUUCUUUUGUAGAAACGGGGUCUUGCUAUGUUGACCAGGCUGGUUUUAAACUCCUUGCCUCAAGUGAUCCUCCCAUCAUUGCCUCCCAAAGUCUUGGGAUUACAGGCAUGAGCCACUGCGCCCAGCUACAAUAUAUUUUGGAUGCUGACUUUAUAUCCUGUGACUUUGCUAUGGUCGCUUAUUAUUUCUAGACAUUUUUGUUUUUGACAGAGUCUCACUGUUUUGCUUAGGCUGGAGUGCAGUGGCACAAUCUUCAUUCACUGCAACCUCUGCCUCCUGGGUUCAGGCUAUUCUCCUGCCACAGCCUUCAGAGUAGCUGGGACUGCAGGCACGCAACACCAUGCCCGGCUAAUUUUUGUAUUUUUAGUAGAGACAGGGGAAUCACGAUGUUGGUCAGGCUGGUCUCGAACUCCUGACCUCAAGUGAUCUGCCUGCCUCGGCCUCCCAAAGUGUUGGAAUUACAGGCGUGAGCCACCAUGCCUGGCCACGGUUUUUUUGAUCCUUUAGGAUUUUCUACCAAGACUGUCAUGUCAUCUAUAAUCAAGUACUCUUUUAUUUCUUUUUUUCCAAUUUGUUUGUAUUUUAUUUCUUUUUUCUCAAAGCUUAUUGUACUGACUAAGAUCCCCAGAAUAAUGUUGAAUAAAAGUAUUGGAAACAGACAUCUUUUCUUGAUUCUAAUAUCUAGGGAGAAAGCUUUCACUAUCACAUACCAUUAGUAAUAAGAUUAACUGUACAGUUUCUGUAGAUGCCCUUUACCAAGUUGAGAAAGUUCCCUUUUAUUUAUACUUUCCUGGGAGUUUCUACCAUGCACUAAUGACAUUGAAUUUUGUCAAAUGGUUUCUCUACAUCUAUUGAGAUGAUCAUAUGGCUUUUCUUUUGUAGUCAAAUUUAAUUUAUUGAUAUGAUGAAUUACACUUAUGGAUUCUUUUUCAAUGCUCAAAUAAAUGUUUAUUCCCUUUUAUUCUUGACAUUAUUAUUUGGUCAAACCAGAUGAAAUUACAACUAUUUGAAUUUUUAAAGUAACAAAAGAGCAAUUAUAAGUAGUAUAACAACAACAAAAGUAUAAGUCUAGUUCAUUUAGCAAUACCAGAAACAAAUUGGUGGUUACAUUCUACUCCGCAAACCGCAUAAAGAUCAGAUCUCUCCCCAAACUAGGGUUAUGCUUUAGUGGUAUCGGUAAUAAAAUUAGAUGGUAUCUCUUUUACAGUUAAAUCUAUAAUUCAGGCAGGGGGAAUGAAACUCAUUCAUUUCCAAGUCACCAAAAGCUCUUUUCUGGGGAGAGUGGGCUACAAUAUUGAUUGAGAACAGGAGAGAAAAAGGAAAAGAGCACACCAGAAGCCCAGAAAUCCAACAUUAGAUAGGGUCAGUGCUUCCCAAUAAUGUAAAUACCAGGUCAAUUAUCCAGUCACUUUCUUCUCUCUUUUUUUUUUUUUUGAAACGGAGUCUCGCUUUGUCAUCCAGGCUGGAGUGCAGUGGCCUGAUCUCAGCUCACUGCAAGCUCUGCCUCCUGGGUUCACACCAUUCUCCCGCCUCAGCCUCCCCAGUAGCUGGAACUACAGGCGCCCACCACCACACCCGUCUAAUUUUUUGUAUUUUUAGUACAGACAGGGUUUCAACAUGUUAGCCAGCAUUGUCUCAAUCUCCUGACCUCCUGAUCCACCUGCCUUGCCCUCCCAAAGUGCUGGGAUUACAGGCGUGAGCCACUGCGCCUGGCCUCUUCACUCUUUCUGAGAGACCUGACCACAUCCUUUCAAGGAUCGGUAUAUGGUGCCUCCAAACUGAGGCAUUUAAAAAACAAAUAAACUUAAAACUCUAGAACAGCUUUAGAUUUACGGAAAAAUUGUAAACAUAUUAUAGAUAAUUCUUGUGUACCCCACACCUGGUUUCCCUUUUAGCAUCUUACAUUGGUAUGGUAUAUUUGUUACAAUUAAGGAAACAAUGCUGACAAAUUAUUAUUAACUAAACUCCAUAUUUUAUUUGGAUUUUCUUGGUUUCUAUCCAACAUCUUUUUCUGUUUCAGAAUCCCACCCAUCCUAAGGCAUUACAUUUAGUCAUCAUAGCUCUUUCUUCACAGAAUUAGAAAAAACUACUUUAAAUUUCAUAUGGAACCAAAAAAGAGCCCAUAUAGCCAAGAAAAUCUUAAGCAAAAAGAACAAAGAUGGAGGCAUCAUGCUAACUGACUUCAAACUAUACUACAAGGCUACAGUAACCAAAACAGCAUGGUACUGGUGCCAAAACAGAUAUAUAGACCAAUGGAAUAGAACAGAGGCCUCAGAAAAACGUCACCCAUCUACAACCAUCUGAUCUUCAACAAAUCUGACAAAAACAAAUAAUGGGGAAGAAAUUCUGUAUUUAAUAAAUGAUCUUGGGAAAACUGGCUAGCCACAUGCAGAAAACUGAAGCUGGGCUCCUUCCUUACACCUUAUACAAAAAUUAACUCAAGAUGGAUUAAAGACUUAAACGUAAGACCUAAAACCAUAGAAACCCUAGAAGAAUACCUAGGCAAUACCAUUGAGGACACAGACAUGGGCAAAUGACUAAAGCAACAAAAGCCAAAAUUGACAAAUGGGAGCUAAUUAAACUAAAGAGCUUCUGAACAGCAAAAGAAACUAUCAUCAGAGUGAACAGGCAACCUACAGAAUGGGAGAAAAUUUUUGCAAUCUAUCCACCUGACAAAGGGCUAAUAUCCAGAAUCUACAAAUAACUUAAACAAAUUUACAAGAAAAAAAACAAACAACCCCAUCAAGAAGUGGGUGAAGGAUAUGAAAAGACACUUCUCAAAAGAAGACAUUUAUGUGGCCAACAAACAUGAAAAAAAGCUCAUCAUCACUGGGCAUUAGAGAAAUGCAAAUCAAAACCACAAUGAGAUACCAUCUCACGCCAGUUAGAAUGGCGAUCUUUAAAAAGUCAGGAAACAACAGAUGCUGGAGAGGAUGUGGAGAGAUAGGAAUGCUUUUACACUGUUGGUAGGAGUGUAAAUUAGUUCAGCAAUUGUGGAAGACUGUGUGGAGAUUCCUCAAGGAUCUAGAACCAGAAAUGCCAUUUGACCGAGCAAUCCCAUUACUGGCUAUAUACCCAAAGGAUUAUAAAUCAUUCUACUAUAGAGACACAUCCACCUGUAUGUUGAUUGCAGCACUGUUCACAAUAGCAAAGACUUGGAACCAAUGCAAAUGCCCAUCAAUGAUCGGCUGGAUAAAGAAAAUGUGGCACAUAUACACCGUGAAAUACUAUGUAGCCAUAAAAAAGGAUGAGUUCAUGUCCUUUGCAGGGAUAUGGAUGAAGCUGGAAACCAUCAUUCUCUGCAAACUAAUACAGGAACAGAAUGCCAAACACCACAUGUUCUCACUCAUAAGUGGGAGUUGAACAAUGAGAACACAUGAAUACCGGGAGGGAACAUCACACACCAGGGCCUGUCAGAGGGUCGGGGGCUAGGGAAGGGAUAGCAUUAGGAGAAAUACCUAAUGUAGAUUAUGGGUUGAUGGGUGCAGCAAACCACCAUGGCACAUGUAUAGCUAUGUAACAAACCUGCACGUUCUACACAUGUAUCCCAGAACUUAAAGCAUAAGUAAAAUAAAAAAAUAAUUAAAUGAGGAAGAAGAGUCAAAUUUUUGUGCAGAAAAAUUUGAAAGAAUUUAUGUAGAUACUACUUCCUCAAUGAGGAAGAGCAUAACUCUAUGCUCUUUAAGUCGGACAUGAACAUACUCAUUUCUUUCAAAAGAGUACAAUAUGAAAAGAGGGAAAAAGAAUAACUGUACAGUAAAGAAACCUGACAAUUGCUACCUUGGCCAAGUGACCCAGGUCAACAUCAACAGUGAUAGUGACGUUUAUGUCAUGUCCACUUGAAAUGAUGUGAUUAAAAAAAGGCACUUUACCUCUGUGUUCUUCUUCCUAUUCCCAUAAUUCCAGACUAAUUAUUUAAAAAUUUUCAUAUGUAUUCCAAUUAAAGAACAUUCUAAAAAAUACCCAACUGGUAAUUCUCAAAACUGCCUAGGUCAUCGAAACAAGCAAAAUUUGAGAAACUGUUACAUUUAUGGAUUUUUAAAUAUUGAAACAAAUCUCAUAUUUCUGGGAUGAAAUCUACUUCAUUAUGAAGCAUUAUCCUUUUAAAUAUAUUGCUUGAAUUAAUUUGCUAAAAUACUGUGUAGGAUUUUGCAUCUAUACUAAUGAGAGAUAGUGAUCUUUAGUUUUCUUUUUUCUUUUGUUUUGUUUUCUGAAACAGAGUCUUCUUGCUCUAUCGCCCAGGCUGGAGUGCAGUAGCAUGAUCAUAGCUCACUGCUGCCUCAAACUGAAGCAAUUAAAGACUGCUCAAGUAAUCCUCCCGCCUCAGUCUCUUAUGUAGCUAGGACUAUAGGCAUAUACCACCAUGCCCAGCUAACUUUUAAUUACUUUAUUUUUUAUUUAUUUAUUUUUUGUAAAGACAGGGUUUUGCUAUGUUGCCUAGGCAGGUUUCAAACUUCUGGCCUCAAGCAGCCCAGGCAUGUGCCAAAACAUCUGGCCCAGUUUUCUUUUCCAUAAGGUCUUUGCCUGGUUUUAAUAUCAGUGUACUAGUGAACUCUUCAAUUUUUAGAAGAGUUUGUAUAAAAUUGGUAUCACUUGUUCCUUAAAUGUUGAGAAGAGCUCACUAGUGAAUAAAUCUUUCUUUUUUCUUUUUUCUUUCUUUCUUUCUUUUUUUUGAAACGGAGUUUCACUUUUGUCACCCAGGCUGGAGUGCAAUGGCACAAUCUCAGCUCACUGCAACCUCCACCUCCUGGGUUCAAGUGAUUCUCCUGCCUCAGCCUCCAGAGUAGCUGGGAUUACAGGCAUGUGCCACCAUGCCUAGUUAAUUUUUCUAUUUUUAGUAGAGUCGGGGUUUCACCAUGUUGGCCAGGCUGGUCUUGAACUCCUGACCUCAGGUGAUCCACCCGCCUUGGCCUCCCAAAGUGUUGGGAUUACAGGCGUGAGUCACUGCGCCCAGCCAACAAUCUUUUUUUUUUAAACAAAAUUAUAGCAAAACAAAAUUUUUAAAACUAAAUAAUAUAAUAUAUUAAUAAAAUACUAAUUUUAUUUUUCUUGAGAGAGCAUUGGUAGUUUGUGUGUUUCAUGAAAACCAUAUGUAAUUUUAAUUGCUUAUUUACUUGUCUUCCCCAUUAGAAUGUUAUAGACUGUUCUUGGGAAGGGAGCCUGUCUUUUAUUUUUGAGAUUCUAAAGCUUAGUAAAUAUUCAAUAAAUAGUUGUUAAGUAAAUGAAGAAAAGGAUAAAUUUUUAGUAGGGCCAUCAGGAGUUUCAUGGGAGGAAAUUCGAGGUGGAUUGUGAGGGAUUAAGAUGAGAGAAGGAGAAAAAGCCCACAAAGAAGGGAUAGCACAAACAUAGGAGAGGCAAGGGGAGGGCGCGAUUAGGGAAUGGCUGCACAUGCCUCUUGGAGUAUUGAAGUAGAAGUUAAUCUGCGCUAAGAUAAGCCAGAACUAAGUCCAGGGGUUUACUGAUACUGGACAUCUGUUUACAUUGGGAAGCCACUGAAGGUUUUUGAGGAGGAGAGUUUAAGAACUGGUUCUGUGUUUAAAAGGAUGCUUCUGGUGAUACAAUGUGGGACUGAUUAGUGAGGACAGAGACAAGAGGCUAUGCAAGCAGUUAGGAGGCUGCUGCAUUAUUACUUUGGUGAGUAACAAUGGGGACACAAAAUAGGCCAUACGAUAAGUACAGGAAAAAAAGAUUUCUUCAAAGUGGAAUUCAUGAGACUUUUUUCACCUGAAUGAGUGGUGAAUGAAAAGAUGAAAGAUAAUCCUAAAUUCUGAGUGGAUGGUGCACCAUCAACUAAGAUGCAAUUACAAGUGGAAGGGCAGGUUUGCCAGAGAGGACAGAGUCUCGCUCUGUCACCCAGGCUGGAGUGCAGUGGCUCGCUGGGUUCAAGCAAUUCUCCUGCCUCAGCAUCCUGAGUAGCUGGGACUACAGGCAUGCAACACCACGCCUGGCUAAUUUUUGUAUUUUUAGUAGAGACGGGUUUCACCAUGUUGGACAGACCGGUCAUAGCCUGGUUGGCUAAGCACAACCACAGCCAAACAGAGCUUUCAGAGACUCAAGAAAAGUGAUGAAGAUUUUAGAACCACACCCAUAGUAGUAAAAUUCAAAACUACUGAAAUAAAUGAGAACAGUGAAUUUGAAGAAGCGCAUGGAAUGGGAAAAGUCUUUCAUGUACGUAGAGACAAUAAUAGAAAGUUGAUGAAGUUUUGGCAGAAAGAAGGAGAGCCAGGAAAGCACAGAAAUGGGAUUGUCUUUCAAGAAAGUAACUUGGGAGGUGGUGUAGUGGAGUGAUUUAGAGUCUGGAGCCAGGAGUUAGAAAGACUUCCUGUUGAAUCUCUGCUUUCACAUUUGUAGGCUGCGUGGCUUUGAGCAAGUUAUCUGGCCUUUAUCUGUAGAGUGAGGGCAAUUUUAUAAUCUAUCUCAUAAGACAGUGGCCAAAAAUAAAUGAGAAAUGAUGCCCUUAAAGUGCUUCUCAUAUUGUAUGGCAUACAGUAAGCAAUCUGUAUUAGCUACUAUUACCAAUAUUAGUGACAGAUCCUUUGGGAAGGUUAAAAAGAAUGAGGGGCAUGCGGAUCUGAGAUCUUCUCUGGAGGCAAAGGCAAAGAUUGCAGGCCUGUAGGAAUUCCUCUUACGCAGAUGUAGAGUUUUCAAGUCUUUUUGCAGUAGAGUCAUCUUUAUACCUGUAGAAUGUUUGGAUGGGGCGUGUGUGUGUGUGUGUGUGUGUGUGUGUGUGUGUGUGUGUGUACGCACUCAUGCAUGCACCUGAAUAAAAAUGGUUAAUUCUAAACAGGUCUGAUAAUUUCUAUAAAAAGAGGCUCCAAAGAAAAUGUCAGGAAGGCUACUUUUUUCUCUGGAAAGACUGAUGAAGAAAUGCUUCAAAGAAAUGAAUCAAAGGCAAAUGCAUGCUAACUUGGUUUCAUUUCUUUGCUGAAAAUUACUGAAUGUUGUUUUAUCACAGUGUAUUAUGCUUGUUUUUAUUUCUUUAAAACAAAUAAGUAACUUGGAUUUUGAUUGUGAUUUAAACUUAAGCCCACGUGGCUUAUGAAAUUAGCCAUUUAAUCAACAAAGACCAGAUGACAGAAUUUUAAUGUUCAAAUAGAAUUAUAGAAUUAAAGAUUAAGUCAGUAUUGUUUUUAACAUUUUUAUUUAUUUGAUAGUCUUAUCAAAUUAACAUUUAUAAAUGUUUCUGUGGAGUUUGGAAAGGAGACUGUGAAAUAUCAGAUACAAUCUCAAAAUUUGAGCAUGGCUUUGGAAAAUGUGUCUUAAACAUCAUUGACCAACCUGGCCAACAUGUUGAAACCCUGUGUUUACUAAAAAUACAAAAAUCAGCUGGGUGCAGUGGUGGGCGCCUGUAAUAUCAGCUACUUGGGAGGCUGAGGCAGGAGAAUCACUUGAACUCAGUAGGCGGAGGCUGCAGUGAGCUGAGGUUGCACCACUGCACUCCAGCCUGGGUGACAGAGUGAGACUCCGUCACAAAACAAAACAAAAUCAUUGAUAUGUUAGGAAAGGCAUUUUGAUCAGAAUAUAGUUGCAAACAUAAUUAGUUAUUCCAUACAGUGCAUACAUAAUUUACACACAUGCCUAUGGUAACAAGUUCCUUUUUAUAGGGAAUGUGCAUAGAGUAUCCUUAACCAGCAGUGAGCUUUAAACUUUCAAGGCGCACACACAACCGCUGACUUACCUUUCUUUCGACUGGGUCCAAGCUUAUCUCAGCAGAACUAAAUGAUUGACUGACUUCCUCCCACGGCCACCAACAUAAUGCCUCCAGAACUAAACCCUUAGUUUCACUCUGCCGGAUAAAAAACAUAGAAACAAAAGCUAUUUUAAACUUUCUUCUUUGCUAACCGAUCAAUGCCCAAUAGCGGAGCCUACCUUUGAUUACUGAUGCGGGCCUACUGUGGUCAUCAAAUAUUGUACAAUAAACUGUUUACAUAGCAGCCCCCUUUACAGCUUUUUAGAUCUUCCCAAGCUGCCAAUUUCUGAAGCUCAGCCUGCCAGCUGGCAGACAGAGAGGUGCUUGUGUUCUAGUUGAUGGAGGUAAUUAACAGCCUAAACUGUCAGAAGGUGACAGCAGGCAAAAAGUUCUUGCCCUGGGGUCACAGCUGGACUCCAACAACUUACUCCUGAUUUACCAGUAAAACUAAUAAUGUAAGUAAUAUUGGUAUUAAAUUAUAAAAUCAAGGGUCAAACUGAAAUUCUGGUUUGUACCACACAUUUACUGGCAGCAAAUUAGUGAUAACGUCUUGCAGGGACUUCCCUCCUAAAAAGACCCCUGGAAAAAUGAGCACGUGUCUAUUUUGGCAACAACAUGUGGAUUUUGAUAAUACGAAGAAGUGAAAUGGUGUCUUUGAUUUAUCUCAGCAAUUGUAGCUAUGACUAGGAUAAUCUUUUUUUUUAACGUUUAAGAAAACCAAACUCCCAUGAAGUAACGGAUCAUGCUUAGAUGAUAAGCAUCAGCGUAUACUUUUACUAAAUUUUGCUUUGCAGUUCAAAAGUGAGCAACACUUUUUAUUCAUAAUGUUAUAUUUUCCUAUAGUGAGCCUUAGAGAGUGAGAGAGAGAGAAAGAGAGGUUAGAUGGAUGGAUGGACAGAUAAAUUCAGAUAUACGCUUGAAUUAUUAGCAUCCUAAACGUACUUUUUUCAUAAUCUUGAUUUUUAAGGAAUAAUCAUCAUUAUUAGAAACUUUUCAAAGUUUUAAGAAAAAAUUGCUUGGGGCUUGCCAAUUUGAAGCGAAUCCUGGCUUCCCAAAUUUUAUUAUACCUUCCUAGAAAAGGUCUCAUCUGAUGUUACAAGGGAAGUAAGCAAUUGCCACUUCACAUAGAAAUUUUCUUUCACAUACCCAUAAAUUCCCGGAGGCUCUGUGCCACCGUAAACUUGUGAUCUAACAAAUAAUUGUUAGAGUUGUUUAUUUAUAAAAUAAAUAGGCUGGGUGCGGUAGUUUACACCUGUAAUCCAAGCACUUUGGGAAGUUGAAAUGGGAGGAUCCCUUGAGCUCAGGAGUCUGAGACUGCAGUGAGCUAUGAUCAUGCCACUGCACUACAGCCUGGAUGACAGAGUGAGAUUGCGUCUCUAAAUCAAUCAAUCAAAAAAAAUACAUAAAUAAAAACAACUUUUUAGGUUUAUCAGGAAAAUUACAUAAGUAUGAAAAUGUAAGUUUUCUGAAAAUGAGUCAUGCAAUGUGCUUAGUGAUCUAACAGUGGAUCUAUUUAAAACACAUUUGCAAACCAAUAAGCUCCUUUGAACUACAGUUCAAUACCUGGUCUCAGACGUCUAAGAGAUGGAGUGUAGAAAUCCAGAAUAAGAAACCUAACAGGUUAUCUUGUUUAACUACCUUAUCUUUGGCAUCUGAAUAAAGUAAAAUGUUAAGCUGACUCAAGUGAACAAUGGUAUUAUUGACCAUAUAUUUUCAUGUCUUUUUGCAGAUUUAAAGGUUUUAUUGUGGUCAACUUAAUAUCUGCAUGUUUGUUAAAUUUCUGAAUACUGUGUAAUUAAAUUGAUUUUUUUGUGAUGGUGAUUAGCGCAUACCAAAAAUCCAAUGAAACAAUUAUUUCUCUCUUCUUAACUGGAGAUCAUAUUUGUGAGCUAUGGUAUCCAUUAUCAACAGUGUAUUCAUGAUUCCAUUCAUAUUUUGUGUAUCUGAUUAUAAAUUUCAUAUGGCAUUUAAUUUGACACAAUAUAAAUCCAUUUGAAUUGACUAUAAUGGUGUGUGUGUGCAUGUGUGUGUGUGUCUAUGGUGUAUGUGUGCGCUUUAGUUUCAUGAGCCUUGGGAAAAUGAUUCUAUAAAUAUAUAGAUAUAAAUGUAUCAGGCUAAUUUUUUUGCAAAGCAAUGUAUGCAUUCCUUUCACUUAUUAAAUCACUGGCUUUAGUGUUUAUGUAGAGAUAUCUGUAGACCUCAGAACAGAAUUAAAACAUUGUGAAAAUUAUAGCUUGAUAAAUGUGUACUGUAAAAAUAAAUCUAAUUUGUUGACUACACAUUACAACACUGUGUUAAGAAUGCUGAGGGAGAAAAAUAAUUUUAAGAUGUAGUUUCUACUGUCUAAGAAGUUUAGUGUCAAGGUGGAGGUAGAAAGAAUACAAUUAUAAAAAUAAGUAAAAGCAUGAUACUCUAAGAUGUGGCGCAGGCAAUGCACAGCUUUUUGGAUAAGGAGUCAGCUGAGAAAAGGCCCCGAGGGAGGUAAGUUUGAAAUGUUCUGUGUAGAUAAGGGAUGAGCUACCUUGAAAUUUGCAAAGGUUACAGGUAGAUAUGUCAGGUAAUGUGAAAUUGUAAGGAGUUAGCAAUUUAUUCUAUGAGAACAAUAUUCCAUUGAAGGUGUAUUAGUAGGGAGUAGUUUGAUCACAGGGCUAUUUUAGGAUGAUAAUUUUAGGACAAAUUUUGUAGGAAGUUGAUUGGAGCAGUAAUUCUCAAAAUGAUUUUUUCCCUGAACUUGAGGAGUUGUUACACUCUGAUCAGUUAACCGUGGUUUAUGGCAGGAUGAUUGUCAUGGGGAAUGGUGGCUUCUUGCUGAAUGUUGAAAUCACUGACAUAGAGGAAGAAGAGAUUUCCUUUAAUAGUAAGCAUUCCAGUUCAGGAAGGAAGUGAUGAGGCACUUAACUAUGGGGUGAGAAUAAUGGGAAAACUGGAAUAAAGGAUGGAUAUGAGUCAGUUGAAAGGGGAAUCUAAAGGAAUAACUCUGAAGUCUGGAAAUAGUAUAUGAGAUGAAAUGAACACUUGAAAAUUAUAGUGAUGAGUGGACAAGUAGAAAUUGUUAUAUGUGUUCAAUGAUUGAUAAUCUUGUUCCUUUGACACACUAAAUGCUCUCACACAUUUUGUGCCACUUAAAGAACCAUAUAGUAGCUUGUGAUGGUACCUUCAUUGACUUGUCCUGCAAGAAUCAUAUUCCUCACCACAAAAUUCUACAGCUUCGACUCUAAGAAUCAAUCGCUGUUAUUGAGUGCCCACUCCUUAUCCUAAUGCUGGAUUCAGGAAAUACUGAGAAGAAAUCUCAAAAAUCUGGAUGGGGACAUAAGACAUUUACUUUUACAAAUGUCGAGCAUCGUAUAAUAAGCAGAAAAGCACCUGUUCAGAAGAGGAUGCGCUUUAAGUACAGGUUGCCAGUGAGAAUAACAUAGACUAGGGAGCAAACAUUUGAGGGAGGCUUAUAGCCACAAAGGUGAGACCAGAAUCUUCUCAAUUUGCCCGGAUUGAGAGCAGUGAAUACCACACUGUGAAUUUUAAUCUACAGCUAAAGAUGUAUCGUUUUCCAAAAAGGGAAUAUAGCGAUAAAGACCUUCUUGAAAAAUAAUUUUGCAGUGAAGUGCAGAGUAGACUUUACUGGGAAGCAGUAGGAGAUGGUGAGAUGGUAAGGAUGCAUCUGCCACAGUUGUGUAACAGUCAUGUGUAUAUGGUAUAUAUCAAUAUCCUGGACCUGCCUUGGCUUCAAGGCAGCUCAAAUGUGUGGGCCUGGGCCUGUGAGGUGUCUAGCAAGGUCUUGGUUUAGAUGAUGGCCAGAAGUUCAGCCUAAUUGAGUGCAAUCAUGACAGCUGGGAACCAUUCUGACACAUUCAAGCUUAAGCUGAGAUUUAGGAAGCUCAAUCCCUAAUUCAGAUAGCACGUCCUUGAAUGUUGCUGACCCUUCCUGAAACAAAACAUGCAAGAUAAAAUUUCUUAGCUUUUUAUAGAGCUUAGCAUGUAGUGAUUUCAAUCCCAAGUGAAAAUUAUAAUAUUGAUAAAGGCUUUUCCUAGGAAAUAUAUUUUAUGAAACUGAUAAGUAAGUGUUGGAAUUCAACUAGCCUAACCCUUCAGAUGAUUGCAUAAUUUUCUUCCAAUGCACUUCCAAAGCUUUUUUAUUAUGGCAAGUUUGCACACAAAAGUAGACAGAACAGCAGAAUGAGUAUCUAUGAAUCAAUUGCAUAAUUCCAAUGCUAUCAUUUUGUCAAACUUAUUUCACCUAUCCCCUUACUUUUGUCGAAAGGGAGGGCUUUUUUUUUUCACAAAACAAAUUUCAAACAUCAUAUUAUUUCAUCUAAAAACACUCCAGGCAGGAAAAACCCACUAUUCUUUCACUUUACUUAUCAUAUUUUAAAAUAAGCACCUUAGGAAUAAUAAAUCUUUGCCUAUUGUAUAAGUAAGAUUUUCAAAAUUGUAUUAUGAUUUGUUUUUUACUUUGCUUGUGCUUUUAUUUUUGUCAUGCAAAACUUUCAGGUAUGAAUGUAUAUAUGGGUGUAUUUAUCUAUAUGUAUUUAUAUUAACAUUUAUCCAUCUUUUCCCUUACUGAUUCUAGAUUUUGAAUCAUAAUUGUGAAUGUUGUCCCCUUUCUCAGGCCAUAAAGGAGUUAGCCCAUGUUUUCUUCUUGUACUAGUAUGGUUUCAUAUUCUACAUUUGAAUAUAAUUAGUUUGGAUUUUAUCUGGUGAGAAAAAGAUACAGUUCUAAGUACUCGCAUAUGACCAUGCACUUGAUGAUUGAGACCCUUAGACAGUCUUCUUUUUCUCAGAUUCAUCUAAGUCUACAGAAUCUUUAUUCCUGCUACUUCUCCUUUGCUUAUCUUCAGUCACUGUGUGAUAUGGUUUGGGUCUGUGUCCCUGUCAAAUCUCAUGUUAAAUUGUAAACCCCAAUGUGGGAGAUGGGGCUUGAUGGGAGGUGAUUGGCUCAUGGGAGCAGGUUUCCUCUUUGGUGCUGUUCUGGUGAUAGUGAAUGAGUUAUUUCAAGAUCUGGUUGUUUAAAAGUAUGUAGCACCUCCCUCCACCUUUGUUGCUCCUGCACUGCCUAUAUGAAGAGAUGCCUGCUUCCCCUUCACCUUCCUCCAUGAUUGUAAGUUUCCUGAGGCUUCCCCAGCCAUGCUUCCUGUACAGCCUGCAGAACCAUGAGCCAAUUAAACCUCUUUUCUUCAUAAAUUACCCAGUUUCAGGUAUUUCUUUAUAGCAGUGCAAAAGUGAGCUAAUGAGGCUGGGCGUGGUGGCUCAUGCCCGUAAUCCCAGCACUUUGGGAGGCAGAGGCCGGUGGAUAACUUGAAACCAGGAGUUGGAGACCAGCCUUGCCAACACAUUGAAACCCCAUCUCUAUAAAAGAUACAAAAAUCAGCCAGGCAUGGUUGUGCAUGCCUGUAGGCCCAGCUACUUGGGAGGCUGAGGCAGAGAAUUGCUUGAACCCAGGAAGUAGAGGUUGCAGUGAGCUGAGAUCACCACUACACUCCAGCCUCCUAGACAAAGUGAGACUGUUUCUCAAAAAAACAAAAAAUGAACUAAUGAUACAGAGACAAAUAGUUAUAUUGUUGACCUCCAAAGAGCUUAUAACCCACGUGGGGUUAUAGGCCAUUAGGCAGACAAUUGCAAUAUAAUCUAUAAGGCCCUAGAGUAGUGUUAUGUAUGGACUACUCCAUGAGUAUAUGAAUUAAACCUAGAUGGCAGAAAGUGAGGAAAGGCUUUUAGGAGGACAUUCAAUCUCCAUGAUUUUUUAAAGGUUAAAUGUGGGAAUCAACUAGAGAAAGUGGUGUUGGGGCCAUGGGAGAAGACUGGUUUCCUGCCUGAGGAAGCAGCACAUGUAAAGAUAGCAUCCAGAGGCAGAAUAAUGUCUUCAGAGAGUGCCAGCAGUUUGUUUUAACUGUAGAGAACACAGAACUCAAGACAUGAUAACAGAUUAUUUUUAUGGAAUGUGUACUAUGUGUGUGCCAGACACUGGACUAAGGGCUUUAUAAGCAUUACCUCUUUUAAUCCCAACCAUAUUAAUGCAACACUAAUAUUACAUUAAUUAUUUUACAGAAGGAAAAAUUGAGAAGCAGGGACAUAAAGUGAAUUCCCAGAACCACAUCUGGUGUUAGAGCCAAGAUUUGUACCUAGACUGUCUGGCUUUAGGGCCCAAGUUCUUGAUGGCUCCACUGUAUUGCCAGAUUAUGAAUAGCCUUGAAGAAUAUAGUGGAUCAUCAAACGGUUUUCAGCAGAACAAUGACAUAUUUAUACUAUUAGAAGAUGCCUCUGGAUGCAGAGUGGAGAAUGUAUUAAAGAGGCAUCAGUGGGUGUGUGGAGCUCGCUUAGGAGCUUAAUGGAACCUGAAUGAGAAAUGUGAAUUCAAGAGUUGACCUAAGUGGUAACAAUGGGGAUGGAGACACAUGGAUGGAGAUAUUAAAUAGCUAAGACUUCUCCACUAGGUGUUUAUGGGUUGACUGGGAAAAAACCCUCUGGCUUGGGCAGCUGGCUGGAUGGGGCGCAUUAAUUCUGAAUGUUAACUGAUGAUACUCUAUAGAAAAAGCCAGAACGUAAGAUAUUUGGUAUCGUGAUAAACAGAUUACACUGUUGUAUGAUCUGUAUAUGAUCAUUUGGGCAGCAAUGUAGCUCUGUUCAUUAUAAUAUAUUAAUGUUUAGUGCAUACAUCUAUCAGGUAAUACUGUUUAUUUUGGCCUGAGACAUGUUACCCAACAGUUACUUAAUAAUAGAACAUACAUGGCAAUGACCAAACACAAAUGUUCAUUGGAAUUCCACAGGUUGCUGAGGCUGUCUUUCACAGUUCCAAUCUUCUAACACCUUUUAAGUUUGUUAUCUCCAAUAGUAUCUGAUCCUCGAAGAUAUCCAGGGAAGCUUGUUGGGGAUUAAUUUUGUAGAAUUAGAAGUGCCACUCUUUUGUUAAUUUACUGUUGGACAAACAUGUCAGAAUAAAUGCCAGCUUUUACCAUUAGGUUAAAGAGGGAAUUUUCUAUUUACAAAGCAAGGCUUUUCAGUUGCUAACCACUUGUACUUACCAAAUAUGGUAUUUGUUUAGCACAUGUUUUCUUGUGAACAUCCAUGUCUUUGUGACUCAGUCUAGGCUGUUGCAAUUUGCUCCUUACCAGGCUUUAGGAGAAAAUGUAGUAGGUAAAGAGGAUAACUGUUCAGUCAUUUAAUGUGCUUUCAUGUAGAGCAGUGGUUCUAAACAGUUCCACAAUCAGAUUUUUAAAUAUUAAUUUUUGUAUUCUCUAGGCACUUCAAGUUUUUAAACUAUCUACCAAACUUUAUUUUAAAGUUAUACAUUUUAUUUCCACUGUGUAUCAGAGAGUAUUUCAACAUGAAAUAACCAGGGUUACCCAAUUAGGCAAUAAAAUUCCAGUCCAAAGCAAAGAAACAUAACAUUAGAGUUUGUGCAACUCCAUUUCGGUAAAUGUAAUAUUUCAAUUAAAAAUAUUCACAGUUAUUCACUGUUAUCAGUUAGGAUUCAUUAUGAUUGAACUCAACAAGGCCCAGAGUAACAGUGGCUUAAAAUAUGUUUAUUUCUCUUCAACCUAGUAUCUCAAAGUAAGGAUUUCCAAGGCUUGCAUGACUGCUUUGCUCCAUUAAGUCAUAAGGGAACUAUAUUCACUGUACAUUGUGCCCAGGUGUGGUGGGCUGUCCUCAAAAAGAUCUUAGGCCUCAAAAGAUAUCAGGUCCUGAGAAUCUGUAAAUGCUACCUUAUUUGGGAAAAGAGUCUUUGCAGGUGUGAUUAAACUAAGGAUCUUGAGAUGGGAAGGUUAUGUUGGAUUAUUCAGGUGGCCCCUAAAUGCCAUAACCUAUAUCCUUAUAAAUGAAGGCAGAGAGAGAUUUUAUAAACACACACACACACACACACACACACACACAAACACACUGAAGGCAGAACAAGUUUGAAGAUGCUGUACUUGAAGACUGGAGUGAUGUGGUCACAAGCCUAGGAGUUCCCGUCUUGAAUUCUGAGUUCAAGGAAUGGAUGGAUUCUCCUCUAGGACCUCUGGAAGUAGUGUGGCUCUGGAUACCCGGAUUUUGGCCCAGCAAUCUGAUUAUUUCUUGCCUCCAGAACUGUGAGAUAAUAAAUUUUUGUUUUUUUAAGUCAUCAAGUUUGUGGUAAUUUCUUAUAGCAGAUACAAACGGUAAUACCCUAGGGAAUGGUAUAUAUUCUCCAUGUUCAAGAAAACCAAAUGUCUCAUUCACCUUCUAAGCAGGACUGUGUAGAAAGAGGAAGGCAUUUAUUCAUUCAUUCACUUCUUCAUUCAACAGAUAUAUAUAUGGGGAGCCUGUUAUAUAUUCGACAUUGUUGUGGAUGUUUGGAAUACAUCUAUGAAAAACACAAAGACCCCUUUCUUCUUGGGACACAUAUUCUAGUAGUUGAAGGCAAAUAUAAAUAAACCAUAAAAAUAAGCACAUUUUACUUUAGAAGAUGAAAAAUUCAAUAGAAAAAAAAGUAGAGCAGAGUAAGGGAGAUUGAGAGGGCCAUGCAGAAGUUGGGGUGAGUUGCAGAUCUAAAUAGAUUGAUCGUGGUAGGGGUUGUUGAAAAGGUAGGAUUUCAGCAAUGACUCAAGAGGGUAAAGGUUUGCCAGUAGAUUAUGAGGAGGAAGAGACUUCCAUGCAAAAGAAACAGCUAGAGCGAGGACUUUGAGAUGUGGGAAUGAAAAUGCCUUUUAUGUUUAAAAACAGAAAGAGGCUAGUGUGAUGGAGCACAGUGAAAAUGGUAGAAGAUGAAAUCAAAGGCAAGGAGGCGAUGAUCCAGGAGGACCUUGCAAGUUAUAGUAAGAUCUUUGGCUAGUCUGAUGGGCAGGCAUUGGGUGGUAUAAGCUGAUAAGUGGCAUAAUGUGAUUUAACCAGUAAAAGUGUCAUUCUAGCUGCACUGUUGAGCAUUCUGUGGGGAUCAAAUAUAGACUCAGGGAGACCUAUCAGGGAAUUAUUGUAGCAAUCCAGAAAAGAUAUUAUAGUGAUUCGGAUCAGAGUUGUAACAGUACAGAUGGAGGGAAAUGGUUGAUUUCUGGACAAGUCUUGAAGAUAGAGCCAACAGUUUCUGACAGGAAUAAAAGAUGACUCCAAAA